AACGAACGCUGGCGGCAUGCCUAACACAUGCAAGUCGAACGAGACCUUCGGGUCUUGUGGCGCACGGGUGCGUAACACGUGGGAACCUGCCCUUAGGUUCGGAAUAACUCACCGAGAGGGAUGCUAAUACCGGAUAAUGUCUUCGGACCAACGAUUUAUCGCCGUUGGAUGGGCCCGCGUUGGAUUAGCUAGUUGGUAGGGUAAAAGCCUACCAAGGCGACGAUCCAUAGCUGGUCUGGGAGGAUGAUCAGCCACACUGGGACUGCGACACGGCCCAGACUCCUACGGGAGGGAGCAGUGGGGAAUAUUGGACAAUGGGCGAAAGCCUGAUCCAGCAAUGCCGGGUGAGUGAUGAAGGCCUUAGGGUUGUAAAGCCCUUUUACCCGGGAUGAUAAUGACAGUACCGGGAGAAUAAGCUCCGGCUAACUCCGUG
rnacentral:rRNA from 1 species